rnacentral:lncRNA from 1 species
GGGGAGUGAAGCUGAGCCAGGCAGAGAGAAGGAAAAUCAUUACCGUUGUUGUCAUCGCUGUAAUACAGCUUUGGGAGGUUAUCUACAUAAUCAAUUGCAAUCAAUAAGAGUGGGAGAUGCGGACUUCCCUGGGAGCCCUAAAAUCAGACUGUGGGAUUCUCCCCAGGCCAGAAGACAGCAUUCAGGUGGGCCGGUGGUGUCGACAUAGGGUUUGAACUUGCCUUUGAAGCAAUGAAUGGGAAUUAGCUGUACAGGAAAUGAAGCAGAGGCUGGGGUCUGAGACAAGAAAAUAGCAGGUGGGAAGAAGAGGAGUGGAGCGAGGUGGGUGUGCAGAGCUGUGAGCACUGGCUAAGGUCAGCUGAGGCAUGGAUGAGCCACUCAGGGAGAGGUCGAGACUAGUUCCAGGAUCUUGGGCUCCCAGUGCCCAUGGGCACCGUGCUGGAUUGAAUCAUUGUGAAGACACCCACAGCUCUCAUUUCUAACUUUGCAAAACUGUCAUUUUCAAUCAAGGGCAGGAGCUAGCCAUGAAAUUAAGAAAUGUUAAGGAAGGUGAAGAGCUUAAGGGAAGAAAGGAAAUAUUUCAGAAUUGAAAUGGCUGGGAUGAACUCCACUGAAGGUAACAGAAUAUUGGAAUAACUGUCUGAAAAGUGGGUGAAUCAUCUCCCUGUAUCC